rnacentral:rRNA from 1 species
GACGAACGCUGGCGGCGUGCUUAACACAUGCAAGUCGAGCGGAAAGGCCCUUUCGGGGGUACUCGAGCGGCGAACGGGUGAGUAACACGUGAGUAAUCUGCCCUGGACUCUGGGAUAGCCACCGGAAACGGUGAUUAAUACCGGAUACAACCAAUAUCCGCAUGGGUAGGGGGUGGAAAGUUUUUUCGGUACAGGAUGUGCUCGCGGCCUAUCAGCUUGUUGGUGGGGUAAGGGCUCACCAAGGCUUUGACGGGUAGCCGGGCUGAGAGGGUGACCGGUCACACUGGGACUGAGACACGGCCCAGACUCCUACGGGAGGCAGCAGUGGGGAAUAUUGGACAAUGGGCGGAAGCCUGAUCCAGCAACGCCGCGUGAGGGAUGACGGCCUUCGGGUUGUAAACCUCUUUCAGUACCGACGAAGCGCAAGUGACGGUAGGUACAGAAGAAGGACCGGCCAACUACGUGCCAGCCGCCGCCGUAAAAC